GGGGUUAUUUUGGGGCAGUUUGGGGUCGGUUUUCAGGCUGAUUUUGGGGUGAUUUGGGGUCACUUUUUGGGCUAUUUUGGGUCAGGUUUUGGGCUGAUUUUGGGGCUAUUUUGGGUCAGAUUUUGGUCUGGUUUUGGGGCUAUUUUUGGGAUAAUUUGGGGCUGAUUUUUGGCUAUUUGGGGUCAGGUUUUGGGCUGGUUUUUGGGCUGAUUUUGGAGCAGUUUGGGGUCAGUUUUUGGGGUGGUUUUGGGCUAUUUUGGGUCAGUUUUCGGGGCUAUUUUUUAGAUAUUUUUUGGAUAAUUUGGGGCGGGUUUUGGGAUAAUUUUGGGCUGGUUUUGGGCUAUUUGGGGUCAGUUUUUUGGGCUGAUUUUGGGCUAUUUUGGGGUCAGUUUUUGGGGUGAUUUUGGGAUAUUUUUGGGCUGGUUUUGGGGCUAUUUUUUAGAUAUUUUUUGGAUAAUUUCGGGCUGGUUUGGGGCUAUUUGGGGUUGGGUUUUGGGUUGAUUUUGGGCUAUUUGGGGUCAAUUCUUGGGCUGGUUUUGGGAUAAUUUUCAGCUGAUUUCGGGCUGAUUUUGGGGCAGUUUGGGGUCGGUUUUUGGGCUGAUUUGGGGUGAUUUUGGGCUGCCUUUGGCCGUUUGGAGCAGUGCAGCGCGCCGUGUCGCUGUUCUCGCUGAGCGACCCCGCCCUGAGCCCGGAGCUGCCCCCCGCCCCUCCCCCACCCCCGCGCGCCGCGCCCCUCCCCCCGCUCAGCCCCUCCCCGGCCCCCCUGGAUCUGCCAGGAAAGGUUUCCCAGCUGGAGGCGAUGCUGAAGCAGCUCCACAGCGACCUGGAGAAGGAGAAGCAGGACAAGGUGUUCCUGCAGGCCGAGGUGGCCAACCUGCGGCAGAACAACCGGCGCCUGCAGCAGGAGUCGAGCUCGGCCGCGCGGCAGCUGCGGCGCUUCGCCCGCAUCUUCUCGGGGGCGGCGGAGCACCACGAGCCCUGAGGAGAUCCAACGGGAUGGAUCCCGUCAGGAACUUCUCCAGAACUUCUGAGCACCAGGAGACCCCACUGGGAUCAACUGGGAUGGAGAAAUCCUCUGGAAUUGUGGUGGAACCCAUCAGGAACUUCUCCAGAGCUUCUGAGCACCACGAGCCCUGAGGAGAUCCAACGGGAUGGAUCCCGUCAGGAACUUCUCCAGAGCUUCUGAGCACCAUGAGCCCUGAGGAGAUCCAACGGGAUGGAUCCCAUCAGGAAGUUCUCCAGAACUUCUGAGCACCACGAACCCUGAGGAGAUCCAACUGGGACUUACUGGGAUCUACUGGGAUGGAGAAAUCCUCUGGAAUUGUGGUGGAUCCCAUCAGGAACUUCUCCAGAACUUCUGAGCACCACGAGCCCUGAGGAGAUCCAACGGGAUGGAUCCCAUCAGGAACUUCUCCAGAACUUCUGAGCACCACGAGCCCUGAGGAGAUCCACUGGGACUUAGUGGGAUCUACUGGGAUGGAUCCCAUCAGGAACUUCUCCAGAGCUUCUGAGCACCACGAGCCCUGAGGAGAUCCAACGGGAUGGAGAAAUCCCCUGGAAUUGUGGUGGAUCCCAUCAGGAACUUCUCCAGAACUUCUGAGCACCAGGAGAUCUGACUUGGACUUACUGGGAUGGAGAAAUCCUCUGGAAUUGUGGUGGGAUGGAUCCCAUCAAGAUGUUCUCAGGAGCUUCUGAGCACCAGGAACCCUCACUGGGAUCUACUGGGAUGGAGAAAUCCUCUGGAACUGGGAUGGAUCCCAUCAGGAACUUCUCCAGAGCUUCUGAGCACCAGGAGACCUGACUGGGACUUACUGGGACAGAGAAAUCUCCUGGAAUUGUGGUGGAUCCCAUCAGGAUCUUCUCAGGAGCUUUGGAGUACCAGGAACCAUGACUGGAACCCACUGGGACAUAGAAAUCCUCUGGAAUUGUGGAACCCAUCAGGAUGUUCUCCAGAACUUCUGAGCACCAGGAACCCUCUCUGGGAUCUACUGGGACUUACUGGGAUGGAGAAAUUUUCUGGAAUUGUGGUGGAUCCCAUCAGGAUCUUCUCGGGAGCUUCUGAGCACCAGGAGCUCAAACUGGGAUCCACUGGGACAGAGAAAUCUCCUGGAAUUGUGGUGGAUCCCAUCAGGAUCUUCUCGGGAGCUGCUGAGCACCACGAACCCUGAGGAGAUCCAACUGGGACUUACUGGGAUCUACUGGGAUGGAGAAGUUCUCUGGAACUGGGAUGGAUCCAUCAGGAUCUUCUCCAGAACUUCUGAGCACCAGGAACCGUGACUGGGAUCUACUGGGACUUACUGGGACAAAGAAAUCCUCUGGAAUUGUGGUGGAUCCCAUCAGGAACUUCUCGGGAGCUGCUGAGCACGAGGAACCACGAGAGGAUCCAACUGGGACUCAAUGGGACGAAGAAAUCCACUGGAACUGGGAUGGAUCCCAUCAGGAUCUUCUCCAGAGCUUCUGAGCACCACGAACCCUGGGGAGAUCCACUGGGAUCUACUGGGACAGAGAAAUCCUCUGGAAUGGUGGUGGAACCCAUCAGGAUCUUCUCAGGAGCUUCUGAGCACCACGAACCGUGAUGGGAUCUACUGGGACUCAAUGGGAUCCAACUGGGACCUACUGGGACUUACUGGGAUAGAGAAAUCCUCUGGAAUUGUGGUGGAUCCCAUCAGGAUGUUCUCCAGAGCUUCUGAGCACCAUGAACUGUGACUGAGAUCUACUGGGACUUACUGGGAUGGAUCCCAUCAGGAUCUUCUCAGGAGCUUUGGAGCACCAGGAGACCCCAUUGGGAUCCACUGGGACCUACUGGGACGGAGAAAUCCUCUGGAACUGGGAUGGAUCCCAUCAGGAACUUCUCCAGAGCUUCUGAGCACCACAAACCCUGAGGAGAUCCACUGGGAUGGAGAAGUCCAUUGGAACUGGGAUGGAUCCCAUCAGGAACUUCUCAGGAGCUUUGGAGCACCAGCAGACUCCACCGGGAUCCAGAAUUUUCUUCCUGGGACGGAAAAAUCAGAUCUGAGACCUCCCCUGCAGAGCCAGAACAUUCCAGAAGGAUCCAGAACCUUCCAGAAGGAUCCAGAACCUUCCAUGGAAUUCCAGAACCUUCCAUACGGGACCAAGACCCUUCCUGAGGAUCCAGAACGUUCCAAGGAUCUCCAGAACCUUCCAGAAGCUUCCACAGGGAACCGAGAUGCUUCCUGUGGGUCCAGAACAUUCCAUGGGGGUCCAAGACCCUCCUGGUGGGAUCCAGAACAUUCCUGAGGGACACAAGAACAUCCCUGUGCUUCCAGAACUUUCCGUGGAAUUCCAGAACCUUCCAUAUGGGACCAAGACCCUUCCUGAGGAUCCAGAACCUUCCAAGGAUCUCCAGAACGUUCUCCAUGGAUCCAAAACAUUCCGUGGAAUUCCAGAACCUUCCACGCGGACCCAGGAAUUCCAAAACUCUUCCAGAACUUUCUGCGCUGAUCCAGAACCUCCCCAGUGGGUCCCGGACUCCUCCUACAGGUCCAGAACUUUCCACGGGGUUCCAGAACCUUCCGUGCAGGACUCGGAACAUUCCAGAAGCUUCCACAGCGAUCCGAGGACCUCCCUAGGGAUCCAGAACUUUCCAGAACAUUCCAGAACUUUUCAUGGAAUUCCAGAACAUUCCGCGGAAUUCCAGAACCUUCCAUGGGAUUCCAGAAAUCCCAGAAUUCCAGAACUUCCCAUGGGAUUCCAGAACUUCCAGAACAUUCUGCGGAAUUUCAGAAUUUCCAGAACGUUCCACAGAAUUCCAGAACUUCCAGGUGCUUCCACGGGGAUCCAGAACAUUCCACAGAAUUCCAGAACUUUCCAUGGGAUUCCAAAAAUCCCAGAACUUUUCAUGGAAUUCCAGAACUUCCCAUGGAAUUCAAAACUUCCGGAACUUCUGGGGGAUCCAAAACUUUCCAGAACUUACCGUGGAAUUCCAGAACUUUCCAGACAUUUCCAGGUGCUUCCAGAGGGAUCCAGAAAUUCCAGAACUUUCCCCGGAAUUCAAAACUUCCAGAACUUUCCGGGGGGAUCCAAAACCUUAUAGAACUUACCAUGGAAUUUCAGAACUUUCCAUGGAAUUCCAGAACUUUCCGGACAUUUCCAGGUGCUUCCAGAGGGAUCCAGAAAUUCCAGAACUUCCCACGGAAUUCCGGAACUUUCCACGGAAUUCCAGAUCCUUCCAGAGGGUCCCAGGCCCCUCCCCCCCCCGGAUGUCCAGGGAAAAGGGGGAGGGGCCUCUCCAAAGGCAAUAAGAGCCCCUCCCCCCUCGUUAGGGGAGGGCUCCAAUCUUUAAUUAAUAAUAAUAAUAAUUAAUGAGGAUGAAUUAAUUAAUAAUAAUUAAGGAGCUUCCAGGCGUGGCAAUCCAGGCACUUUGAUCCCUAAAAAUUCCUAAAAAAUUCCCAAAAAUUUCCUAAAAAUCCUUAAAAAUUCCCAAAAUUCCUUAAAAUUGCUAAAAUUCCCUAAAAAAUUCCUAAAAAUUCCUUAAAAAUUCCUAAAAAUUCCUAAAAAAUGCCCUAAAAAUUCCCUAAAAAAAUUCCUAAAAUUUCCUUAAAAAUUCCUUAAAAAUUCCUAAAAAAUCCCUAAAAAUUUCCUAAAAAAUUCCCUAAAAAAUUCCUAAAAUUUCCCUAAAAAUUUCCUUAAAACUCCCCAAAAAAAUCCCAAAAAUUUCCUAAAAAAUUCCUUAGAAUUUCCUAAAAUUUUCCUUUAAAAAUCCUUAAAAAUUCUUAAAAUUUCCUAAAAAUUUCCUUUAAAAAUUCCUAAAAUUCCCUUAAACAAUCCCUAAAAUUUCCUUAAAAAUUCCUAAAAUUUACUAAAAAUUUCCUAAAAUUCUUUAAAAAUUCCUAAAAUUUCCUUAAAAAUUCCUAAAAAUCCCUUAAAAAUUCCCUAAAAAUUCCUAAAAUUUCCUUUAAAAUUCCCUAAAAAAUUCUUUUAAAAACUCCUAACAUUUCCUAAAAAAAAUCCUUAAAAUUUCCUAAAAAUUUCCUUAAAAAUUCCUAAAAAAUUCCUAAAAUUUUCUAAAAAAAUUGUAAAAUUCCCAAAAAGUUUCCUUAAAAAUUCUAAAAAUUCCUAAAAUUUCCUAAAAAUUCCCUAAAUUAUUUCCUGGAGCGGCUCAGGGUUUGAAACCCCUCCCCCUUCCUUCCCCAAAAUCCCCAAAAAUUCCCCAAAAUUCCCAAAUUCCUGUUUAUAAAACACUAUAUUUGUAUAAAUGGCACCGUUUUUAUCCCAAAUCCCAAAUUUUUUUUUUCCCUUUUUUUUUUGCUGGUUUUGGGAUGAGGGGAAAAUUCCCAAAAUUUCCCCAAAAUGUCCCCAAAAAAUCCCCAAAAUUUGGGAUUUUUCCUCCCCGUUCCCUCCUUUUUUGUCUUAUUUAAUCCCCUCCCCCCUCCCGUUCCCAGAAAAUUUUGUGGGUAGGAAUAAAAAUUCCCAAAAUUUU